AAUGUUUAUUUGGGUUUAGUAUUCUAAUGUUAUAUAGAGUUAAUUACAGGUAGAUACUCUCACUGGACACUGACUUUAUUAAUGUUUAUUUGGGUUUAGUAUUCUAAUGUUAUAUAGAGUUAAUUACAGGUAGACACUCUCACUGAUCACGGACACUGACUUUAUGUUUAUUUGGGUAUAGUAUUCUAAUGUUAUAUAGAAUUUGUUACAGGUAGACACUCUCACUGAUCACUGACUUUAUUAAUGUUUAUUUGGGUUUAGUAUUCUAAUGUUAUAUAGAGUUAAUUACAGGUAGACACUCUCACUGAUCACUGACUUUAUUAAUGUUUAUUUGGGUUUAAUAUUCUAAUGUUAUAUAGAGUUAAUUACAGGUAGACACUCUCACUGAUCACUGACUUUAU